UACGUAGGGUGCGAGCGUUAAUCGGAAUACUGGGCGUAAAGCGUGCGCAGGCGGUGAUGUAAGACAGUUGUGAAAUCCCCGGGCUCAACCUGGGAACUGCAUCUGUGACUGCAUCGCUGGAGUGCGGCAGAGGGGGGAUGGAAUUCCGCGUGUAGCAGUGAAAUGCGUAGAUAUGCGGAGGAACACCGAUGGCGAAGGCAAUCCCCUGGGCCUGCACUGGACGCUCAUGCACGAAAGCGUGGGGAGCAAACAGGAU
rnacentral:rRNA from 1 species